GGCGAAGGCGGCCCCCUGGAAGAAGACUGACGCUCAGGUGCGAAAGCUUGGGGAGCAAACAGGAUUUGAUCCCCUGGUAGUCCACGCUGUAAACGAUGUCGAUUUGGAGGUUGUGCCCUUGAGGCGUGGCUUCCGGAGCUAACGCGUUAAAUCGACCGCCUGGGGAGUACGGCCGCAAGGUUAAAACUCAAAUGAAUUGACGGGGGCCCGCACAAGCGGUGGAGCAUGUGGUUUAAUUCGAUGCAACGCGAAGAACCUUACCUACUCUUGACAUCCAGAGAACUUUGCAGAGAUGGUUUGGUGCCUUCGGGAACUCUGAGACAGGUGCUGCAUGGCUGUCGUCAGCUCGUGUUGUGAAAUGUUGGGUUAAGUCCCGCAACGAGCGCAACCCUUAUCCUUUGUUGCCAGCGGUUCGGCCGGGAACUCAAAGGAGACUGCCAGUGAUAAACUGGAGGAAGGUGGGGAUGACGUCAAGUCAUCAUGGCCCUUACGAGUAGGGCUACACACGUGCUACAAUGGCGUAUACAAAGAGAAGCGACCUCGCGAGAGCAAGCGGACCUCAUAAAGUACGUCGUAGUCCGGAUUGGAGUCUGCAACUCGACUCCAUGAAGUCGGAAUCGCUAGUAAUCGUAGAUCAGAAUGCUACGGUGAAUACGUUCCCGGGCCUUGUACACACCGCCCGUCACACCAUGGGAGUGGGUUGCAAAAGAAGUAG
rnacentral:rRNA from 1 species